rnacentral:rRNA from 1 species
UACGGGGGGGGCAAGCGUUGUUCGGAAUUACUGGGCGUAAAGGGCUCGUAGGCGGCCAACUAAGUCAGACGUGAAAUCCCUCGGCUUAACCGGGGAACUGCGUCUGAUACUGGAUGGCUCGAGUUUGGGAGAGGGAUGCGGAAUUCCAGGUGUAGCGGUGAAAUGCGUAGAUAUCUGGAGGAACACCGGUGGCGAAGGCGGCAUCCUGGACCAACACUGACGCUGAGGCACGAAGGCGUGGGGAGCGAACGGG